CAACAGCCGGGGGGGUGCUCUCCAAAGGGAGAGCUGAGAUGAUACCCUUGGAACCUGAUCCAGAUCAUACUGGCGGAGGAAUCGGCGAACGGGAUACA
rnacentral:ncRNA from 2 species